GGGGCCUGGGACUGCGCAGCGUGGUCGUCUCCCUGGCAGGGAGAAAUUCAGGCGGGUGCGACUCCCGCAGGCUCCACCA
rnacentral:tRNA from 1 species